GAGGGUAUAGCUCAAUUGGUAGAGCGCAUGGUUAGUAUGCACAAGGUACUGGGUUCAAUUCCCCAGUGCCUCCU
rnacentral:tRNA from 1 species